rnacentral:rRNA from 1 species
GACGAACGCUGGCGGCGUGCCUAAUACAUGCAAGUUGAGCGCUGAAGGUUGGUACUUGUACCGACUGGAUGAGCAGCGAACGGGUGAGUAACGCGUGGGGAAUCUGCCUUUGAGCGGGGGACAACAUUUGGAAACGAAUGCUAAUACCGCAUAAAAACUUUAAACACAAGUUUUAAGUUUGAAAGAUGCAAUUGCAUCACUCAAAGAUGAUCCCGCGUUGUAUUAGCUAGUUGGUGAGGUAAAGGCUCACCAAGGCGAUGAUACAUAGCCGACCUGAGAGGGUGAUCGGCCACAUUGGGACUGAGACACGGCCCAAACUCCUACGGGAGGCAGCAGUAGGGAAUCUUCGGCAAUGGACGAAAGUCUGACCGAGCAACGCCGCGUGAGUGAAGAAGGUUUUCGGAUCGUAAAACUCUGUUGGUAGAGAAGAACGUUGGUGAGAGUGGAAAGCUCAUCAAGUGACGGUAACUACCCAGAGAGGGACGGCUAACUACGUG